rnacentral:rRNA from 1 species
CAGAGGGUGCAAGCGUUGUUCGGAAUUACUGGGCGUAAAGCGCGCGCAGGCGGGUCUGUAAGUCGGAAGUGAAAUCUCACUGCUCAACGGUGAGGCUGCUUCUGAUACUGCAGAUCUUGAGACCGGUAGAGGUUGGUGGAAUUGCAGGUGUAGCGGUGGAAUGCGUAGAGAUCUGCAAGAACACCCGUGGCGAAGGCGGCCAACUGGGCCGGUUCUGACGCUGAGGCGCGAAAGCGUGGGGAGCAAACAGGAUUAGAUACCCUGGUAGUCCACGCCGUAAACGAUGGGCACUAGGUGCUGGGGGAGCGACCCCUUCAGUGCCGUAGCUAACGCGAUAAGUGCCCCGCCUGGGGAGUACGGCCGCAAGGCUG